CCAGUUCUUAUUUUUCUGUUACUCAUCCAUUAAGAAAGAUAUGUAUUUAGAUUCAGUGAUUAUUUGCUAAGAAAUAUGCUGUUGGAUUUUUUUCCCUCACUUAUUUCCUUGGCUUAAGUCAAAAUCUCUUUUUGGAUAUGCAGUUGGGCAGAAAUACCAUCUAAUCAGAUUUCCAACGCUAGAAUCCUUUACUGCUGGAAAAAUUAGGCAUCUUCUCAAUUCUCCAGUCCUCAGGCUCCUAAAAGACAAAGUGGAUUAAGUUCCUGGAAGAAUAAAGACCAUGUAUAUACUAUUAUAAGGGAAGCAUUUGAGUACUUGUGCUUGCUUUAUUUUGAGAAGAUUGACCUACUUUUGAUGCUCCUCCGCUAACAGGCAUGUCCCCACUCCCAAUUCCUCCCGUUUCUUCUGGAAAUGGCAGUUUGUCUAUAUGUAGAGAAAAAGGGACUUUUGGGAUUUAGGCAGUAUUAUUAAGAACAUUCAUAAAAUAAUUGGGCAGUUGUAUAAUUUUCAGUUUCCUAUAGAUCUAGUGUUUCUAAAUCAGAGAGAAGCCAGUGGGAGGAAGAUACAGGUUCUCCUUACACAUUUUUAUAUAGGCUUGUACUCCUUCCUGAGGUAUAGCAUAGUGUAACGAACCAAAUCGAAUGAACUGAAAUUGUUUUUACUCACUUGUCUCAGCCUUGCUCUUAGCCUAAUUUUUUUCUAGGUCCUAAUUUUCUGUGUGUGUGUGUGACUUCCUUUUUUAAUUCUGUCUUGGUUGUUAUUUUGGCAGGAAUUGAGAAGAGAGCCAGGGAUUCUGAUCAGGUGCCAUCUUAAACUUGCAUGUCCAGGCACAUUACACAGAUGCAGCCUGACCUGCCUGCACAUUACGACCUGGCUCUCUUGUCACUGGGAAGACGGGGAAGAGGUCAGAGACGUUGGAGGUUUCUUCAAGUGAAGAAGCUGCCCUCCUGGUCCAAAACCUGCAGGGAGGACCGGGCACCCUGUAAGACCAGCCGCUCGGGACUGUCAUGCUAG
rnacentral:lncRNA from 1 species